AUGGAGCAGGCGCAGGGCUGGCCCCAUCCUGGUGCAGGUCCUGGGGAGAUGGGGACGAGCCCCCCAGGGCAGGAGGAAGGCGCAGGGCGAUGGGUUUUUUUAGGAACAAGGCUUUGGAGGGGGUGUCAGUGCUGUGCUGGGCUCCCUCCUGCUUACAGCUGGAGCAGCACGGGGGGGUUGGGGCUGGGGGACCCCUUCCCUGCUCCCCGCAAAGGGAGAAGGGGGCUCUGGGGGGGGGCACGGUGCCUGCAGGAUGGAGCAAAGCAGCAAGGACAAGGCAAGUGCUCCGUGGGAUCGUACCUGGGCCCCAUCCCAACAUGGGAUGGGGAAGGGGGGCACGGGGAGGACACCCUGGGGGCAGGCUGGUGGCUCUGUGGGACCAGGGCUGGGACCCCAAAAGCUGCGAGGUGCUGGGGAGCAGCCCCAAGCCCUGGUGCUCCAGCUGCUCGCAGGUCGGGACACAGCACCCCAACCCCCCCCAAAAAAGAUUGUGCUGUAAGAGCAGGGAGAUGGGGUCCGGGCUCCCCGAGGGGGGGGCUCACAGUGGUUUGGGGGCCUGGCACUUUGGGGCUCCUGCGUCAUCUCCAUCCCUGCUGUGCAAAGCUCAGCUCCAGGCUGGAGCUGGAGCCGGCUCCUGUGUGCUGGAGGGAGGAGAUCCAGGAGCGAGGGACCAGCAGCACCCAGGCUCCCCCCCCCCCGGGCACAAACCAAGGCACCGAGGGAGAAGGAACACGAGGUGGGUGGUGUGAAGGCACCUCCGAGCUGUCCCCUGCGAUGGAGGGGCUGGGGGAAGGCUCAGAGACCCCCCCUAGACCCCCAGGGGAGCACCCAGCAGCAGUGCAAAGGGAUAAAAAUAAAAAAGGGGGGGUCUCUGGCUUCUCCUCCACCCCUCACCUGCAGCACUGUCCUUACCCUACACCCCCGGUGUAUCCAAAACCACGGCCCCAGCCUGAGCCUGCAGGCACCGUCCCCCGGGACCAGGACAAGGUGGUGAAUUUGGGAACGUGCACCCCAAAACCCGGCGGUGCCCGCAGGGAUGCUGCCCACGGGCAGAGCUGA
rnacentral:lncRNA from 1 species